rnacentral:rRNA from 1 species
AUGCAAGUCGAGCGGAAAGGCCCUUCGGGGUACUCGAGCGGCGAACGGGUGAGUAACACGUGAGCAACCUGCCCUAGGCUUUGGGAUAACCCCGGGAAACCGGGGCUAAUACCGAAUAUGACUGCUGGUCGCAUGACUGGUGGUGGAAAGUUUUUCGGCCUGGGAUGGGCUCGCGGCCUAUCAGCUUGUUGGUGGGGUGAUGGCCUACCAAGGCGACGACGGGUAGCCGGCCUGAGAGGGCGACCGGCCACACUGGGACUGAGACACGGCCCAGACUCCUACGGGAGGCAGCAGUGGGGAAUAUUGCACAAUGGGCGGAAGCCUGAUGCAGCGACGCCGCGUGAGGGAUGACGGCCUUCGGGUUGUAAACCUCUUUCAGCAGGGACGAAGCGUAAGUGACGGUACCUGCAGAAGAAGCGCCGGCCAACUACGUGCCAGCAGCCGCGGUAAGACGUAGGGCGCGAGCGUUGUCCGGAUUUAUUGGGCGUAAAGAGCUCGUAGGCGGCUUGUCGCGUCGACUGUGAAAACCCGCAGCUCAACUGCGGGCCUGCAGUCGAUACGGGCAGGCUAGAGUUCGGUAGGGGAGACUGGAAUUCCUGGUGUAGCGGUGAAAAUGCGCA